CUCCUGAGCUGUUGGGCAAAAGAUUCAGCUAGAUGCUUUUUGGGAGUCGUAGUCGGGAGGGCACUCCGUGUGUGCAAGCGCCGCACCAUCAGACUUCUUUUGUACUUUUGCGCGGUGGGUGGGUUUCAGCGUGGUUCCAUGGUAAUCAGGGGACAAGACUGGUGCUAUCCUAGGUAACGACCGGACUACCUGAUUUAGGAAAGGCAGUUCGGUUGUGUGGUGAGAGCAUGGGGAGGGAACAGGGACACAAAUACCCAGAGAUAGCUAUGGAGGAAGGCAGAGAUACCAGUACACAGAGGAGGAGAGCUGCCCGAAAAUUGCGAGGGCGAAGACUGGAUGCGAAGAGAGACAGCGAAUAUCAGUGAACGCACACAGAGGUAUAGUUCUGAAUGAAAGGGCGGGUUUCAUUCAUUAAAGUCAGAAUUAGGACCUGAGAUCAUGUCAAAAAAAAAAAAAAAUAGCGAGAGGAAGCAGAAAGGGAUUGGGUUAGGAAAGUGAGACAUCGAGACUCUUGGGACCCAUCCGAGUACAAAGGGUCUCACUAUGCAGCCCUGGAACUCACUUUGUAGAUCAUGCUGGCUUCAAAUUCACAAGGAUGUGCCUCCAAAGUUCUAGGAUUUGUCAUGCACUACCACACCUGGCUUGUUGGGCCUCUCUUUAAAGGGGUUAAGUUAUCCACAACUUUCAACUCCUUUUCUGGGAAACUCUUGAAGCAAGAAUGUAAACAACUCAAAAUACCUUCAAGAAGUCCCUUAAACUGACCAGAUUAAUUGGGUCCUUCUCCAUCAGAGUAAACAAUAAAAGCUAAGAGUUCCUCUCAGAAGAAGGAAGCUGGGCUUUAAAGAAAACUCUCAGACAAACUGAGUUUCAAAGAAGGCUCUGAGACUGGACCAGCUGGAAGAAGUCUGGACCAGCAAGACACAGGAAAGUACACUCUCCACCAUGUUGAACUACCUUCAGGCUGUGCAGUGUGUUCCAGGUUCCCAGCUUUGUGAGCAGUCAUCCAUGCUGGAAUGGGCUUUGGUGACACAGCUGUCUUUGAGUAAUUUCUGAUCCUGUAAGUUACUCCUCACCCAUAUUCCUGUAAGUAAACCCCAAUAAAACUCAUGGUUCA